AUUGAACGCUGGCGGCAGGCCUAACACAUGCAAGUCGAACGAGUGGCGGACGGGUGAGUAAUGUCUGGGAAACUGCCUGAUGGAGGGGGAUAACUACUGGAAACGGUAGCUAAUACCGCAUACCAUCGGAUGUGCCCGGAUGGGAUUAGCUAGUAGGUGGGGUAAAGGCUCACCUAGGCGACGAUCCCUAGCUGGUCUGAGAGGAUGACCAGCCACAUGGGAACUGAGACACGUGCCAGACUCUUACGGGAGGCAGAAGUGGGGAAUCUUCCACAAUGGGCGCAAGCCUGAUGCAGCCAUGCCUCGUGUAUGAAGAAGGCCUUCGGGUUGUAAAGUACUUUCAGCGUGGAGGCGUUACCCGCAUAAGAAGCACCGGCUAACUUCGUGCCAGCAGCCGCGGUAAUAC
rnacentral:rRNA from 1 species